rnacentral:lncRNA from 1 species
AGAAAUUGUCUGAAUUGUAUGCUUACAGAUGACUUUAUUUUCAUUUUAAGCUUAUUCUAUUUUCUCAUCAUUUUUUUACAUAUUCACAUAUUACUUCACUUUCUGGGGAAAUCACGAAUGACAUCUUGGGAUAAAACGAGCACACUCAGUGAUAGACCAUGGAUUCCCUGAGUCGGGCUGAACCUGGUACUUAGGAACCUGCAGACAAGCAGCUACCAGUGUCCUGCGCACCUGGGGGCAGCUGCUGCCCCUCCCUGCCCUGGUGUCCUGCAGAGGCCAGGAGUCACUGGAAGCUGAGCCUCCCGGCCUGUAGGAGACGCCGCUGUUCUCCUGACUAUUCCUGGGUCUCAGAGACCCGGCUUUCUCCUCUCUUCCUCUCACGUCCUGAAAUUCCCUCGCGUUUCUUCCUCCUACUUUGUCACAAGACCAAAUAUAAAUGUGCGGGGCCAAGGAUUUGUCCUCGGGCUUGGCCAUGAAAUGAGGCCAAUGGCAUCUGGAUUUCUGGCCCACAGUUUACUCUCAGCAAGUUAAAAUAACGCCUAUAGAAACCCCGUGGCUCCGGCCAACGUAAACCAUGUCUCCGAAAACAACUGUUUGAUUAAUGCAGCCAGUUCCCGCAAGCAGCUUAAAAAUUCUGUGGGAAAAAAACCAAAAAACCAGUCAAAAAGCCUGGGGCUGGCGCUGUAGCUCGGGGUAGAGCGCUUGCCUCGCAUACAUGAGGCCCUGGGUUCAGUUCCCAGCACCAC